UAGAUGCCAUAACAGGACCCAGGCAAUAUGACACACAAGAGAAAAUACAGGCAUCUAUAAUACCAGAUAAUUCCAUUGAAACUCAAAAUAUUUCAACGGAAGAAACAAAUCACAAGCAGCCACACUGAAAAAUUAAAGUACUUGUGAAUAUUAUACCAGUAGGCAUUUCUGGGCCUGUACAUCCACAUUAGUUUUAAAGAUACAAAUAAGACCUCAAAAUAUUGUUUAAAUAGAUGCCUAUAAAAUGCAAUUUUCUUGAUUGU
rnacentral:misc_RNA from 1 species